rnacentral:rRNA from 1 species
CCUACGGGUGGCUGCAGUGGGGAAUUUUCCGCAAUGGGCGCAAGCCUGACGGAGCAAUACCGCGUGAGGGAGGAAGGCUUUUGGGUUGUAAACCUCUUUUAUCAGGGAAGAAAAUUUGACGGUACCUGAAGAAAAAGCAUCGGCUAACUCCGUGCCAGCAGCCGCGGUAAUACGGAGGAUGCAAGCGUUAUCCGGAAUCAUUGGGCGUAAAGGGUCCGCAGGUGGCGACUCAAGUCUGCUGUUAAAGACCGGGGCUUAACUCCGGAAAGGUAGUAGAAACUGAGAAGCUAGAGUACGGUAGGGGUAGAGGGAAUUCUCAGUGUAGCGGUGAAAUGCGUAGAUAUUGGGAAGAACACCGGUGGCGAAAGCGCUCUACUAGGCCGAAACUGACACUGAGGGACGAAAGCUAGGGUAGCGAAAGGGAUUAGAUACCCCUG